UCCCUGGUGGUCCAGUGGUUAAGAUUCUGUGCUUUAACUGCAAGGGGCAUGGGUUCAAUUCCUGGUCGGGGAA
rnacentral:tRNA from 1 species